CCUGCCGGAGGACAUUGCUAUUGGGAUUCGAUUUAGCCAUGCUAGUCGAGCGAGUUGAGACUCGCGGCGCAUAGCUCAGUAACCAGUGGCCAAGCUACCCUUCAGUUAGCGAUACCCUCGGGAAACUGAGGUUAACAGCUGAUACAAAACGCCAGCUGGAAUGCGGCGUUUCAGAAAGACAUCGCUGAAGGAUGCGGCUGCGGCCGAUUAGGUAGACGGUGGGGUAACGGCCCACCGUGCCAGUAAUCGGUACGGGUGAUGAGAGUCAGAGCCCGGAGACGGAAUCUGAGACAAGAUUCCGGGCCCUACGGGGCGCAGCAGGCGCGAAACCUUUACACUGCACGGAAGUGCGAUAGGGGAAUCCCAAGUGCGAGGGCAUAUUAGCCCUCGCUUUUCUCGACUGUAAGGUGGUCGACGAAUAAGAGCUGGGCAAGACCGGUGCCAGCCGCCGCGGUAAUACCGGCAGCUCAAGUGAUGUCCCAUAUUAUUGGGCCUAAAGCGUCCGUAGCU
rnacentral:rRNA from 1 species